GAUGAACGCUGGCGGCGUGCUUAACACAUGCAAGUCGAACGAGAACCAAUGGAAUGAGGAUUCGUCCAAAGGAAGUUGGGGAAAGUGGCGGACGGGUGAGUAACGCGUGAGCAAUCUGCCUUGGAGUGGGGAAUAACGGCUGGAAACAGCCGCUAAUACCGCAUGAUGCAGCUGAGGGGCAUCUCUUGGCUGCCAAAGAUUUAUCGCUCUGAGAUGAGCUCGCGUCUGAUUAGCUUGUUGGCGGGGUAACGGCCCACCAAGGCGACGAUCAGUAGCCGGACUGAGAGGUUGGCCGGCCACAUUGGGACUGAGACACGGCCCAG
rnacentral:rRNA from 1 species